rnacentral:rRNA from 1 species
AGGCUGCAACUCGCCUGCAUGAAGUUGGAAUUGCUAGUAACCGCGAAUCAGAAUGUCGCGGUGAAUACGUUCCCGGGCCUUGUACACACCGCCCGUCACACCAUGAGAGUCGAUAACACCCGAAGCCUGUGAGCUAACCGUAAGGAGGCAGCAGUCGAAGGUGGGGUUGAUGAUUGGGGUGAAGUCGUAACAAGGUAAC